UGGAGCAACGCCGCGUGAGUGAAGAAGGGUUUCGGCUCGUAAAGCUCUGUUGGUAGUGAAGAAAGAUAGAGGUAGUAACUGGCCUUUAUUUGACGGUAAUUACUUAGAAAGUCACGGCUAACUACGUGCCAGCAGCCGCGGUAAUACGUAGGUGGCAAGCGUUGUCCGGAUUUAUUGGGCAUAAAGCGAGUGCAGGCGGUUCAAUAAGUCUGAUGUGAAAGCCUUCGGCUCAACCGGAGAAUUGCAUCAGAAACUGUUGAACUUGAGUGCAGAAGAGGAGAGUGGAACUCCAUGUGUAGCGGUGGAAUGCGUAGAUAUAUGGAAGAACACCAGUGGCGAAGGCGGCUCUCUGGUCUGCAACUGACGCUGAGGCUCGAAAGCAUGGGUAGCGAACAGGAUUAGAUACCCUGGUAGUCCAUGCCGUAAACGAUGAGUGCUAAGUGUUGGGAGGUUUCCGCCUCUCAGUGCUGCAGCUAACGCAUUAAGCACUCCGCCUGGGGAGUACGACCGCAAGGUUGAAACUCAAAGGAAUUGACGGGGGCCCGCACAAGCGGUGGAGCAUGUGGUUUAAUUCGAAGCGACGCGAAGAACCUUACCAGGUCUUGACAUCCAGUGCAAACCUAAGAGAUUAGGUGUUCCCUUCGGGGACGCUGAGACAGGUGGUGCAUGGCUGUCGUCAGCUCGUGUCGUGAGAUGUUGGGUUAAGUCCGCAACGAG
rnacentral:rRNA from 1 species